CCUGGCUCAGAUUGAACGCUGGCGGCAUGCCUAACACAUGCAAGUCGAACGGCAGCACGGUCUAGUUUACUAGAUGGGUGGCGAGUGGCGGACGGGUGAGUAAUGCGCAGGAAUGUGCCUUAAAGUGGGGGACAACUUGGGGAAACUCAAGCUAAUACCGCGUAAUCUCUUCGGAGAAAAGCUGGGGACCUUCGGGCCUGGCGCUUUAAGAUUAGCCU
rnacentral:rRNA from 1 species